AUUAAUACCGCAUACGCCCUGAGGGGGAAAGUGGGGGACCGUAAGGCCUUACGUUAUACGAGCAGCCGAUGUCUGAUUAGCUAGUUGGUGGGGUAAAGGCUCACCAAGGCAACGAUCAGUAGCGGGUCUGAGAGGAUGAUCCGCCACACUGGGACUGAGACACGGCCCAGACUCCUAUGGGAGGCAGCAGUGGGGAAUUUUGGACAAUGGGCGCAAGCCUGAUCCAGCCAUGCCGCGUGUCUGAAGAAGGCCUUCGGGUUGUAAAGGACUUUUGUCCGGGAGCAAAUCCCAGUGGUUAAUACCUACUGGGGCUGAGAGUACCGGAAGAAUAAGCACCGGCUAACUACGUGCCAGCAGCCGCGGUAAUACGUAGGGUGCAAGCGUUAAUCGGAAUUACUGGGCGUAAAGCGUGAGCAGGCGGUUGUGCAAGUCUGAUGUGAAAGCCCCGGGCUUAACCUGGGAACGGCAUUGGAGACUGCACGACUAGAGUGCGUCAGAGGGGGGUAGAAUUCCGCGUGUAGCAGUGAAAUG
rnacentral:rRNA from 1 species